GGCUCAGAACGAACGCUGGCGGCAGGCCUAACACAUGCAAGUCGAGCGCCCCGCAAGGGGAGCGGCAGACGGGAGAGUAACACGUGGGAACGUGCCCUUCAGUUCGGAACAACCCAGGGAAACUUGGGCUGAUACCGGAUACGUCCGUAAGGAGAAAGAUUUAUCGCUGAAGGAUCGGCCCGCGUCUGAUUAGCUAGUUGGUGGGGUAACGGCCCACCAAGGCGACGAUCAGUAGCUGGUCUGAGAGGAUGAUCAGCCUCACUGGGACUGAGACACGGCCCAGGCUCCUACGGGAGGCAGCAGUGG
rnacentral:rRNA from 2 species